AGGCUUUUAGAAUCAUAAGGUGGGUGGGGUCCUGUGUCCUACACCACAGGCCAGCUAGUUCAUUUCAGGAGACUUUUUUUUCAAUCUAUUAUUACUAUCUUCUUCUAGACUGUAGUUCACUACUGGAGAUUAUCCACUUAGUUACACUCAGUUUGCACCUGGCCUGUAUCACCAGUCAGCUCUCACUCCAGCCUCAGGUAUCAGCAAGACCUCACCAAAGAUUAUUGUUUAAUUUUGUGUGUGUGUGUUUUUGUUUGUUUCGGGUAACAACUAAUGUUGGAACUAUGAAAAGCUCUUCUCUACUUUUAACAAAGCUUAGUCACAAACAGUUCCCCAGUUGAUGAGAAAAACUAAAACAACAGAACAAUUGAAAGUCCAAAUCUGCAAGCUCAUCUCUGAGAACCGAAUUCUACAGCCACUCCAGAUUUGUACUCCAAAUGGAUAGUUUGAUUGUAGAAAUCACAUCCCUUCAGUCUGCCAAUGUGAUAAGGGCCCAAGAGACAGUGAUGCCUAGAUUCAUAGAUAAUCCCCUUUCCCCCAUCCUAUAUAUAACUGGAGUCAACAGCAGCUGGAGGAAAAUGGCAAGAACUUGGAAUCAAGAUUAGGUUAGAAUAACACUGCUGUAGACAGUUUAUCAGCUCUUCAGCAUACGUCCGU
rnacentral:lncRNA from 1 species